UCCAACACUUCUAUAGGAUAGUUUAAAGCUUUCACUUCAUAAUUAAGCUACAGUGAACGGCCAUUCAUGUACAACAUUUUAUAGUGUACUAUUCAUGUAGUUUGAAAAAUAGAAGGGAUCAUACUUAGGUUGCCACGCAAUUAUAUAAAUGUCACAAUUGAAUAAUUAGAUAAUUUUCAUGCACAGUUUUGAACCAAUUUGGUUUGAAGGGAUUUAAUUAUGUG
rnacentral:lncRNA from 1 species